GGAAAUCCUGUUCGAAAGAGGAAAUUGUGUGAAGCAAAACUCUGAAGCCCAUUGAGAUGUUGAUAGGAGCAUUUUAAAGUGGUACAUUGGAGUAAAUGAUGGUGAAAUGAGCAUUAGGUCCACACUUACCUAUAAAUGGUGGAGAAAAAUGGAAAUGUACUAAAAUGUCAAUUUUACACAUUUUCCUACUCCGGCUAGGAGAAACCAAGCCAAGCAAGGAAGAAGGAGCGGCCGCCUGACCAAAUGAACUCUAAAUGAGCUGAAACUUUCCAGAUCCAUUCUAGACAUCCUAAGGAUCAUUUCUUAUGAAGAGUGCCAGAGCUAGUUUUGAGUGGAAGGCCUUCAAACAGUCAGCCCAAUUUCCUGCAGAAGCAAAACUGGAAAACUGGACCCGUAAGGAGUCCAGCAGAGAUUCUGGCCCAAAGGCAUGGAAAUAAAUUCUGAAAUUUUACCAAAAUGAUCUACACUCAUGGUAGAUCAUUUCAUAUGAAGAAGUCACGAGCCAAAUCUGAAGUCCUGUUGGAGAAGUAAUUGAAGGAAUAAAGGUGCAGAAACUGAUCUAAAAACAGCUCAACACCACAUGUUCAAGUUUCCUACCCACAUGAAGAAAGCUAGAUGCUUUUCUCUUUUUCCUUGGAUAUAUUUUUCUGCUCCAAUAGAUCAUCAUCACUUCCAUACUUCUGCACCUUCAUGCCUUGCUUUCAUUUCAUCAUUACUCCAUCUUUUCCAUAUUUUACAAACCACUUUCAUUAUUUUUCUUCCAUUUAUCAUUUCACUCUUCUUUUUCUUCCCUAUAUAAACACCUUCUCCUCUCAUUCUAAGGACAUUCCUUCAUCCAUUCCAUCUUCUUUGUCUCUCCAUUUCCUUUCCAUUUUCCUUUCCAACAUCCUCUAGGGCAAGCCACGAAGUUCAAGCAAGGCCAAGGAAGAGAAGAACCAAGCCGUGAGCAUCAUCAUCCAUCCUCCACCUUUGAAGCUUGCUUUCGAGUCUCAAAGGAUUCAACGUUAUUCACCCAUCUUCAUCUUCCAUCCACGGUGUAAUUCGACCUCUACUUUGUAACCUUUGCUUUGUAUUUCGUUGGUUUUGCCUUAGUUGACAUAUAUGUUUGAACAAUUGUUAAUUUCUGGAAUUUUAUGAUUAAUUGAGAAUUUUCAGAUUCAUA